GAUGAAGAACGCAGCUAAAUGCGAUAAGUAGUGUGAAUUGCAGAAUUCAGUGAAUCAUCGAAUCUUUGAACGCACAUUGCGCCCCUUGGUAUUCCAUGGGGCAUGCCUGUUCGAGCGUCAUUUGUACCUUCAAGCUUUGCUUGGUGUUGGGUGUUUGUCCCGAGGGACUCGCCUUAAAGUAAUUGGCAGCCAGUGUUUGGUUUUGAAGCGCAGCACAAGUCGCGAUUCAAGGCUACACGCCCGCUUCCACAAGCCUUUUUUCACUUUUGACCUCGGAUCAGGUAGGGAUACCCGCUGAACUUAAGCAUAUCAAUAAGCGGAGGA
rnacentral:misc_RNA from 1 species